UACGUAGGGGGCAAGCGUUGUCCGGAAUUAUUGGGCGUAAAGCGCGCGCAGGCGGUCCUUUAAGUCUUGUGUUUAAUGCCAAAGCUCAACUUUGGUACGCAUGGGAAACUGGGGGACUGGAGUGCAGGAGAGGAAAGUGGAAUUCCACGUGUAGCGGUGAAAUGCGUAGAGAUGUGGAGGAACACCAGUGGCGAAGGCGACUUUCUGGCCUGUAACUGACGCUGAGGCGCGAAAGUGUGGGGAGCAAACAGG
rnacentral:rRNA from 1 species